AGUUAUAUAGAGGUCGUGCUUUCUUUACAGGAUCCUUAUCAGAGGCUGAGGCUUACGCUUCUAAGUUUAUAUGCGAGCAAGAAGCAUGGAAGGUCUGGGAUAAACAAAAAUUGCAGAGCAGCGGACCAGGUUCAGCACAAUCGGUUCUUGUCAACUCAUGCCCUCAGAGCGCAUAUUUAGAGCAUUGAAAAGAUAGUGAGCUUGAUGAUGAUAUGCAACUGCGGUG